rnacentral:rRNA from 1 species
UACGGAGGAUCCAAGCGUUAUCCGGAUUCAUUGGGUUUAAAGGGUGCGCAGGCGGAAUUUCAAGUCAGUGGUGAAAUCCUACGGCUUAACUGUAGAACUGCCAUUGAUACUGUUGUUCUUGAGUACAUUUGGAGUGGGCGGAAUGUGUCAUGUAGCGGUGAAAUGCUUAGAUAUGACACAGAACACCGAUCGCGAAGGCAGCUCACUAAGUUGUAACUGACGCUCAGGCACGAAAGCGUGGGGAU